rnacentral:rRNA from 1 species
GACGAACGCUGGCGGCGUGCUUAACACAUGCAAGUCGAACGAUGAAGCCGGAGCUUGCUCUGGUGAAUUAGUGGCGAACGGGUGAGUAACACGUGAGUAACCUGCCCUUGACUCUGGGAUAACUGCGGGAAACUGUAGCUAAUACCGGAUACGACCCUCGGAGGCAUCUCCUGGGGGUGGAAAGAAUUUCGGUCAGGGAUGGACUCGCGGCCUAUCAGCUAGUUGGUGAGGUAAAGGCUCACCAAGGCGACGACGGGUAGCCGGCCUGAGAGGGUGACCGGCAACACUGGGACUGAGACACGGCCCAGACUCCUACGGGAGGCAGCAGUGGGGAAUAUUGCACAAUGGGCGCAAGCCUGAUGCAGCAACGCCGCGUGAGGGAUGACGGCCUUCGGGUUGUAAACCUCUUUUAGCAGGGAAGAAGCGAAAGUGACGGUACCUGCAGAAAAAGCACCGGCUAACUACGUGCCAGCCGCCGCAGUAA